rnacentral:rRNA from 1 species
UAGGGAAUCUUCGGCAAUGGACGAAAGUCUGACCGAGCAACGCCGCGUGAGUGAAGAAGGUUUUCGGAUCGUAAAACUCUGUUGUUAGAGAAGAACAAGGACGUUAGUAACUGAACGUCCCCUGACGGUAUCUAACCAGAAAGCCACGGCUAACUACGUGCCAGCAGCCGCGGUAAUACGUAGGUGGCAAGCGUUGUCCGGAUUUAUUGGGCGUAAAGCGAGCGCAGGCGGUUUCUUAAGUCUGAGGUGAAAGCCCCCGGCUCAACCGGGGAGGGUCAUUGGAAACUGGGAGACUUGAGUGCAGAAGAGGAGAGUGGAAUUCCAUGUGUAGCGGUGAAAUACGUAGAUAUAUGGAGGAACACCAGUGGCGAAGGCGGCUCUCUGGUCUGUAACUGACGCUGAGGCUCGAAAGCGUGGGGAGCAAACAGG